rnacentral:rRNA from 1 species
GACGAACGCUGUCGGCGUGCUUAACACAUGCAAGUCGAACGGAAAGGCCCUGCUUUUGUGGGGUGCUCGAGUGGCGAACGGGUGAGUAACACGUGAGUAACCUGCCCUUGACUUUGGGAUAACUUCAGGAAACUGGGGCUAAUACCGGAUAGGAGCUCCUGCUGCAUGGUGGGGGUUGGAAAGUUUCGGCGGUUGGGGAUGGACUCGCGGCUUAUCAGCUUGUUGGUGGGGUAGUGGCUUACCAAGGCUUUGACGGGUAGCCGGCCUGAGAGGGUGACCGGCCACAUUGGGACUGAGAUACGGCCCAGACUCCUACGGGAGGCAGCAGUGGGGAAUAUUGCACAAUGGGCGGAAGCCUGAUGCAGCAACGCCGCGUGCGGGAUGACGGCCUUCGGGUUGUAAACCGCUUUCGCCUGUGACGAAGCGUGAGUGACGGUAAUGGGUAAAGAAGCACCGGCUAACUACGUGCCAGCAGCCGCGGUGAUACGUAGGGUGCGAGCGUUGUCCGGAUUUAUUGGGCGUAAAGGGCUCGUAGGUGGUUGAUCGCGUCGGAAGUGUAAUCUUGGGGCUUAACCCUGAGCGUGCUUUCGAUACGGGUUGACUUGAGGAAGGUAGGGGAGAAUGGAAUUCCUGGUGGAGCGGUGGAAUGCGCAGAUAUCAGGAGGAACACCAGUGGCGAAGGCGGUUCUCUGGGCCUUUCCUGACGCUGAGGAGCGAAAGCGUGGGGAGCGAACAGGCUUAGAUACCCUGGUAGUCCACGCUGUAAACGGUGGGUACUAGGUGUGGGGUCCAUUCCACGGGUUCCGUGCCGUAGCUAACGCUUUAAGUACCCCGCCUGGGGAGUACGGCCGCAAGGCUAAAACUCAAAGGAAUUGACGGGGCCCCGCACAAGCGGCGGAGCAUGCGGAUUAAUUCGAUGCAACGCGUAGAACCUUACCUGGGUUUGACAUGGAUCGGGAGUGCUCAGAGAUGGGUGUGCCUCUUUUGGGGUCGGUUCACAGGUGGUGCAUGGCUGUCGUCAGCUCGUGUCGUGAGAUGUUGGGUUAAGUCCCGCAACGAGCGCAACCCUUGUUCACUGUUGCCAGCACGUUAUGGUGGGGACUCAGUGGAGACCGCCGGGGUCAACUCGGAGGAAGGUGGGGAUGACGUCAAGUCAUCAUGCCCCUUAUGUCCAGGGCUUCACGCAUGCUACAAUGGCUGGUACAGAGAGUGGCGAGCCUGUGAGGGUGAGCGAAUCUCGGAAAGCCGGUCUCAGUUCGGAUUGGGGUCUGCAACUCGACCUCAUGAAGUCGGAGUCGCUAGUAAUCGCAGAUCAGCAACGCUGCGAUGAAUACGUUCCCGGG